AAUCAAUGGCUUAUGCUGACGGCAGAGCGGAGUAGGCAGCGUGUUGAGCCCGCUCGGGCGCUGGGCGCUGGGCGCUGGGCUGGGCACCACAACAUGGAAUUUAAGACAUCGUUAUCAAGUACGCACCUAAUUACUUAAAGUAAUUUGUCAUUUAGUCGAUACGUCGCGAUAUCUGGCGAUAGGAAUAUUUUGAUAAGCGGGGACAGCUCCGAUAGCGAUCGUGUGUGAUCGAUCACUGAUGGAGAACCUAUAAAUAAACAUCAGUGAGUAGCGCGCGCGGGCUGGCUCGCCGCUGCUCGACACGCACGCUCCUCGUCAAAAUUCAUCAACUUUAUCAAUGCGAGGAUCUAUUAAAGGACUACUGAGACACAUUUUUCAGGAGGGUUAGAACAGAUGAUACGGAGUACCUGCAGCACAUUCGGUCUUCGCGAAGACAGACUUCAGCUCAGCAGAGGUCCAGCGACAAGACCUCCGCGUCAUUCGGAAGUACGCCUGCAAGACUCUUUGAUGACGACGCUGGCGCGACAGUCAGCUCCGUAUCCAAGACGACUGGUGGGACUCAGAUGUUGCCCUCCCAGUCUGGUGACCCAACACGCUGAACGCGGCUGGUGAGCGUGGCAGCACCGACGUCCGGGUGCUGCAGCAUUACUCGCAGCAGAGGUCCACGCUCACAGGGAGGUAAUGUGCACUCAGGCACUAGUGUGUCGGAGGGGUGGACUCGGCGCGUCUCUCCUGGUCGAGCCCGCCCUCCCACUGCACUCAUACAGGGGCCCUCCUGUUGGGUAGUCAUUACGCAAAUUUUAUUGCGAUUACACAAUGUUAUUCUUUCCGAAAGAAGUCAUUCUUGAACAAAAAUUCAGUGCGAAUUUCAUUAGAAUACCUGCGCGAUUUGAAAACCGACACAGCCGCAUCGCUCGCACGAGCUACGAGGACCGCAGCCGCCUCGUCACAUCGUAAUUUUAUUUAGGGAGUGGCGAGUGAACAGAACGAAACAAAACGUCGAUAGUCCAGCCGUGCAGCCGUGUGCGCAGACACACGCCCCCUCCCUGUACUAGCGAUAGGAUGCGCAUUGCGUCAUAACAAUCUAAAAGUCCCACAUGUCACUGUUGCACUGUGUGCAUGCGGGGCGCAAUGCGUGUACAGAAAUGAUUGUAGAACAGAUAAUGUGACGUGUGGUAUCCCUGAGGCGAGUAUUCGGUAGGCACACAGGCUCUGUUACAGGUUUGGGAGCGCCAGUCUGUCUGUCUGUCUGUCUAUCUGUGUGAGUCGCUGGUUAUUACUAGUAGAGGCCGCGACGAUCGAACACAUUAGCUGAAACAAGAAUGUAACCGUUGUUGUUAGUUUGUGUUCUAUUAAAGAAAUUUUAGUUCUUA